rnacentral:rRNA from 1 species
AGAGUUUGAUCAUGGCUCAGAACGAACGUUAGCGGCGCGCCUAACACAUGCAAGUCGAGCGAGAAAGCCACUUCGGUGGUGAUUAAAGCGGCGCACGGGUGAGUAACACGUGGGUCAUCUGCCCUUUGGUGGGGGACAACACCUCGAAAGGGGUGCUAAUACCGCAUAAGUCCACUUCGGUGGGGAAAGGCGGCUUCGGCUGUCGCCAGAGGAUGAGCCCGCGGCCCAUCAGCUCGUUGGUAGGGUAACGGCCUACCAAGGCUACGACGGGUAGCUGGUCUGAGAGGAUGAUCAGUCACACUGGAACUGAGACACGGUCCAGACUCCUACGGGAGGCAGCAGUGGGGAAUAUUGCGCAAUGGGCGAAAGCCUGACGCAGCGACGCCGCGUGGGUGAUGAAGGCCUUCGGGUCGUAAAGCCCUGUGGGAGAGGGAAGAACAACCCAGGGGAAUAAUACCCCCUGGGCCUGACGGUACCUCUCCAGAAAGCACCGGCUAACUCCGUGCCAGCAGCCGCGGUAAUACGGAGGGUGCUAACGUUGUUCGGAAUUACUGGGCGUAAAGCGCGUGUAGGCGGCUUGGCAAGUCAGAUGUGAAAUCCCUCGGCUCAACCGAGGAACUGCAUUUGAAACUGCCUCGCUAGAGUACGGGAGAGGGUAGUAGAAUUCCCGGUGUAGAGGUGAAAUUCGUAGAUAUCGGGAGGAAUACCGGUGGCGAAGGCGGCUACCUGGACCGAUACUGACGCUGAGACGCGAAAGCGUGGGGAGCAAACAGGAUUAGA